rnacentral:rRNA from 1 species
UGUGCCAGCAGUCGCGGUAAUACGUAGAAGGCUAGUGUUAGUUAUCAUUAUUGGGUUUAAAGGGUGUGUAGACAGUAAAUUAAACUUUAAAAGAGUNCUUUUUUACUAGAGUUAUAUGUGAGAAGGAAGAAUUUCUGGAGUAGAGAUAUAAAUUUUUUGAUACCAGAAGGACUGUCAACGGCGAAGGCGUCCUUCUAUGUAAUAACUGACGUUGAGAUACGAAGGCUUGGGUAGCAAACAGGAUUAGAUACCCUAAUAGUCCANGCAGACAAUGAUGAAUGUCAUACAUUAGAGAAAUUUAAUGUAUAAACGAAAGUGUAAGCAUUCCACCUCAAGAGUACUAUGGCAACAUAUAAACUGAAAUCAUUAGACCGUUUCUGAAACCAGUAGUGAAGUAU